UACGUAGGGCGCAAGCGUUGUCCGGAAUUAUUGGGCGUAAAGAGCUCGUAGGUGGCUUGUCGCGUCUGCCGUGAAAGCCCAUGGCUUAACUGUGGGCGUGCGGGCGAUACGGGCAGACUGGAGUACUGCAGGGGAGACUGGAAUUCCUGGUGUAGCGGUGGAAUGCGCAGAUAUCAGGAGGAACACCGGUGGCGAAGGCGGGUCUCUGGGCAGUAACUGACGCUGAGGAGCGAAAGCGUGGGGAGCGAACAGG
rnacentral:rRNA from 1 species